GAAAGAUGAAAAGAACUUUGAAAAGAGAGUUAAACAGUACGUGAAAUUGUUGAAAGGGAAACGAUUGAAGCCAGUCGUACCUUCGGGUAAUCAGCCUUUCGGGUGUGAUUCUGUGGAGUGUGAGGAGCUUAAACACCUUCAUGUUUUGCAUAUUCGUACUCUUGGGUGUACUUGCCCGUGUGGUUGGUUAACAUCAAUUUUGGUGGUCAUAAAAUGACUGGAGGAAUGUAGCUUCGAUCUUGUAUUGAAGUGUUAUA
rnacentral:rRNA from 1 species